rnacentral:rRNA from 1 species
GAACGCUGGCGGCGUGCCUAAUACAUGCAAGUAGAACGCUGAAGAGAGGAGCUUGCUCUUCUUGGAUGAGUUGCGAACGGGUGAGUAACGCGUAGGUAACCUGCCUUGUAGCGGGGGAUAACUAUUGGAAACGAUAGCUAAUACCGCAUAACAAUGGAUGACACAUGUCAUUUAUUUGAAAGGGGCAAUUGCUCCACUACAAGAUGGACCUGCGUUGUAUUAGCUAGUAGGUGAGGUAAUGGCUCACCUAGGCGACGAUACAUAGCCGACCUGAGAGGGUGAUCGGCCACACUGGGACUGAGACACGGCCCAGACUCCUACGGGAGGCAGCAGUAGGGAAUCUUCGGCAAUGGGGGCAACCCUGACCGAGCAACGCCGCGUGAGUGAAGAAGGUUUUCGGAUCGUAAAGCUCUGUUGUAAGUCAAGAACGGGUGUGAGAGUGGAAAGUUCACACUGUGACGGUAGCUUACCAGAAAGGGACGGCUAACUACGUGCCAGCAGCCGCGGUAAUACGUAGGUCCCGAGCGUUGUCCGGAUUUAUUGGGCGUAAAGCGAGCGCAGGCGGUUUGAUAAGUCUGAAGUUAAAGGCUGUGGCUCAACCAUAGUUCGCUUUGGAAACUGUCAAACUUGAGUGCAGAAGGGGAGAGUGGAAUUCCAUGUGUAGCGGUGAAAUGCGUAGAUAUAUGGAGGAACACCGGUGGCGAAAGCGGCUCUCUGGUCUGCAACUGACGCUGAGGCUCGAAAGCGUGGGGAGCGAACAGGAUUAGAUACCCUGGUAGUCCACGCCGUAAACGAUGAGUGCUAGGUGUUGGAUCCUUUCCGGGAUUCAGUGCCGCAGCUAACGCAUUAAGCACUCCGCCUGGGGAGUACGACCGCAAGGUUGAAACUCAAAGGAAUUGACGGGGGCCCGCACAAGCGGUGGAGCAUGUGGUUUAAUUCGAAGCAACGCGAAGAACCUUACCAGGUCUUGACAUCCCGAUGCUAUUUCUAGAGAUAGAAAGUUACUUCGGUACAUCGGUGACAGGUGGUGCAUGGUUGUCGUCAGCUCGUGUCGUGAGAUGUUGGGUUAAGUCCCGCAACGAGCGCAACCCCUAUUGUUAGUUGCCAUCAUUCAGUUGGGCACUCUAGCGAGACUGCCGGUAAUAAACCGGAGGAAGGUGGGGAUGACGUCAAAUCAUCAUGCCCCUUAUGACCUGGGCUACACACGUGCUACAAUGGUUGGUACAACGAGUUGCGAGUCGGUGACGGCGAGCUAAUCUCUUAAAGCCAAUCUCAGUUCGGAUUGUAGGCUGCAACUCGCCUACAUGAAGUCGGAAUCGCUAGUAAUCGCGGAUCAGCACGCCGCGGUGAAUACGUUCCCGGGCCUUGUACACACCGCCCGUCACACCACGAGAGUUUGUAACACCCGAAGUCGGUGAGGUAACCUUUUGGAGCCAGCCGCCUAAGGUGGGACAGAUGAUUGGGUGAAG